rnacentral:rRNA from 1 species
UACGUAGGGUGCAAGCGUUAAUCGGAAUUACUGGGCGUAAAGCGUGCGCAGGCGGUGAUGUAAGACAGUUGUGAAAUCCCCGGGCUCAACCUGGGAACUGCAUCUGUGACUGCAUCGCUGGAGUACGGUAGAGGGGAUGGAAUUCCGCGUGUAGCAGUGAAAUGCGUAGAUAUGCGGAGGAACACCGAUGGCGAAGGCAAUCCCCUGGUACCUGUACUGACGCUCAUGCACGAAAGGCGUGGGAG